rnacentral:rRNA from 1 species
UACGGAGGGGGCUAGCGUUGUUCGGAAUGACUGGGCGUAAAGCGCGCGUAGGCGGGCUGGAAAGUCAGGGGUGAAAUCCCGGGGCUCAACCUCGGAAUUGCCUUUGAAACUCCCAGCCUUGAGUUCGAGAGAGGUGAGUGGAAUUCCGAGUGUAGAGGUGAAAUUCGUAGAUAUUCGGAGGAACACCAGUGGCGAAGGCGGCUCACUGGCUCGACACUGACGCUGAGGUGCGAAAGCGUGGGGAGCAAACAGG